UACGUAGGGUGCGAGCGUUAAUCGGAAUUACUGGGCGUAAAGUGUGCGCAGGCGGCGGAGCAAGUCGAGUGUGAAAGCCCCGGGCUUAACUUGGGAACUGCGCUCGAAACUACUUUGCUGGAGUGUGGCAGAGGAAGGUGGAAUUCCAGGUGUAGCGGUGAAAUGCGUAGAGAUCUGGAGGAACACCGAUGGCGAAGGCAGCCUUCUGGGCCAACACUGACGCUCAUGCACGAAAGCGUGGGGAGCAAAC
rnacentral:rRNA from 1 species